rnacentral:piRNA from 1 species
UGCAUACUGGAGAAAGACCCUAUAAA